AAUUUAAGCUGUUUUAUGCAGGUCUUGCAUUUAUUGGAAAGAAUGCAUGCUCAUCAAUAUCUAAUGUCAAAGAAAUGGCUUGUGCUACAGAAACCACUGCAGAUUUCAUACAGAUGUUUUCAUUCUCUGAGUCAUUACAGUAUGAUUUUCAUCUAAUAUUCUCUGAUAGUAAAAAGGGACCUUAAAGUGAGUGCAAUUUUCAUAUAAAUUGCAUAGGAACCUGAGCAUUAAUGAAAACUUUGGGCUUCAGAUAAUACAAAUCACUGGCUCAACCUCCACAUGUCUGAAUGAAAGGUAAUGCUGGUUUAAAUGGGUGCAGUUCCAGUGGCUUGGGUGUGGGAAGCACAGGAGGUGUUUGGCAACUAGAGGCAAAGUUGCUGGACAUGUAUAUGCGGUGUAGUUAAAAGGACUUCUCAGAUAUUUGGAGAAGAAAAUCAGUUACCAUUUGUCACAAUCCCUGCUUAAAUAACAUUUCAGAAACUUAAAUUAUGGUUGCUGAAGAGUUCUUCAUUAGUGGUCUUUGUACAGUAGCUAUAGGAAAGAGUUGGUUGCUAUAUAGUGUUUGGAAUAUAAUGUAUAAUGUACUUGCAAAAAAGGCAUUAAGGUAACUGCCAUAUUACAUGCUAAGCUAUGACCCUACCUCUUUUAUACCUUGCCAAAAUGGUACUUCUUAUUCAAAGUCUAGGAAGUAAUAGCAGAUAACAGUUCUAAGAACACAGUUUAUAGAAGAUUUAAAAGAAUUGAUCUACUUUGAAGUAAUACUAUCUAGAGGAAACAUAAAAUGAAAGUAUCUUUUGGUAGCAAAAAAAAGAUAAACCCCUGAUAAUCUAGUUAUCUCAAGAGACAUCAGAAGUUUUUAGGCAAACACUUUCAAUUUAACAUUGAUUUUAGAUUUAGCAUAUAUUUAUGAAAUUCAGAGCUGGGUUUGAAGAAUUUGAAGUUAGAUGUCAUUGUUUCAAUAGUUUUUGGAAUGUUCGAGUAAGGUAAAAUUAAAAAGGAGGAGCUGCAGUGAAAUGUCUGGAGUCCUCACAUAUUAAUGCCUGCCCCCACCACAAAAUGCCUAUGGAAUAAAGCUACUUCAAGUCAAUUCAAUUUAGUCUCUUCUGCUAAGGAUUUACCUAUAAAUCCUUACUUUUGCCAUAAUAUUCAGUAUUAUUUUAUUUGUUGUUGACCCUUUCUUUUGUAAUCCACCUUCCUCUGAGCAAAUUCAGCCACAGUCAAAAUUGUCGGUGAGUCUGCUGUGCAAUAUGCAGAAAUAAUGCCUUAAUCUGAUGUUCCCACUGUGACAAUGGGACACUCUUACGCACGUUCAAAUUUUUUAUGAUUUUUUUUUUUUUUUUCCUUCAGUUUUAUCUCAUGGGCUUUGUGUUUGCUUAAACUCACAGCUUUUUUUUUUUUUUCUUUGCCUAACUAGGAUUUUCAAAAUAAAUGCAAAUCCUUUCAUAUUAACAUUAAUAGAUAAACUGAGCUGAUUGAAGUUAUUUUUGCCAAUAUUUUUUUUUAAGGAAAAUCAUUGUAGAAUUUGCAAUUUGAUUGCUCUUGAUGGUGAUUGGCAGAAAUAGACCUUUCUUGGCUAAUAUAAAAGAUGUUAUAGAAAGAAAUGGCAAAUGUAAAAUUGUACUUCAGUUUAAAAUUUAAAGUUUAUAUUGAUGAAGUUUUUAGUGUGUUUGAAUUUAGCUUUCAUUAUAUAACAUAGUGUUGAAUUACAUUUCUCAAAGGGGUUCCCUAUUCCUCCGAAUACUGUUGUGUACCUCCUACUGUCUUCACCGAGCAUAUACGUCUAAAUCUUGGUGGAACAUUAAUAUCUGGGGGGUUUUUUAGGUUUUACUAAUUUACGUCAGUAUUUCAGGUGUUAUAUUUCCAGGAGAAGGUAAUUGUUGCCCAUACACCAACACUCCAGCUGCAUUGUUUAAAAGAAAUGUGAAAGUAGAUUUGAAAGUCACAGAAAAUUUCUAAUAGACUUUGACCAUAUAGGAUGGAUGAAGCCAAGUAAUAGUCCUCAAGAAUUUCUGAAUAUGAAUAGACCCAUAUUAGCACUUACCAGCAUUGUUCAAGGAUUUACAACUAGAUUACAUAUUUGAACAAUUAUGAGAACAUGUGUCGUAGGCUUUUAAGGUAUUAUGGUAGUUUGUAAGAAAUCUGAAGUGUUUUGGAAAGGCCAGGUUAUCUGACUAACUCAUAUUUUAAUAAGAAAUUUCACAUGAGCUACGUAUAAACAUAGUUUCUAAUGCUCUGGUAAACAAGUACAGUGUUAUGUAGAAGAAAUUGCGGUGUUCGGAACACGGAGAAAUAGAACCAAUCCAAGUUAUCAGUCUGUAUGUUGUUAUGCUGGAAUGCUGUACCUUGCUACAGUAUGGAUUGUACGCAGCAAGAUGUUUUCCAGUAAUUAAAGGCAUUAGGCUUCUAAGAUGCUUAGAUCUAAACACUGUUGUUGUUACAGUUAUACGAGGUAGGAGAUAACUUAAAUGGCAUAUUUUCACUUUCCAGUAAACUUUUUUUUUGCUUUACAUUGUUUAGAAAUAGAGAUUUAAAUGUAUUUAACUGUUACAAAUGUCUCAGCCAAGUAAGGACUGAGUUUCUAAAUGAUAUUGGAAGAUGGGAUUUGUCUAAAUGGGUAAGUUUUCAAUUUUAUAAGCUGGAAUAGAUAUGUCAUGAAAUACAAAACUGAAUUUAUUUCAUCUGUGUCAUUCAAGCACACUUAUUUUGCCAUAGAAAUACUGCAUUUAUAUUUUGCGCAUUGCUAGAACUACCUGUGAUAAAUUUAUGGUUCUCUAGUAUCAUGAUUUGGUUUAAUUUUUAUCAUAUAGAACCAAAAUUUCAUUGCCAAUUUUUCUAUUUAAAGGCUUGUUAAUCUGCAUUGAUUUCUUAGUUUGGUAUGGAUUCUGAGCUGAAAAAUACAGUACAUCACUGACUGUUCUAUCACGUGACAGCGACUGAUAAAGCAUCCGUGCAGAAAGUGUCAGAAAAGGUUAAUAUUUAUUGAUUUUAUGGCACUACAACCAGUGUAGUUUUGCCAUCAAAGAUGUAUGGCCACCAGCAAUGGAAUCUGUAAAAUUGCAGGUUGGACGCUAGUUUUUAUUAUAACCUAUGCCAGUAUUCUGGCCUUAAAAAAUGACAGAUAUUUAAUUUAAGACAAAAGGCUUUGAAUGUGCAGCUACUGUAUACCUGCAAUGGGAAUUUAGUAUUCUAAAAUGAAACCCAAUCACAGAGCUUUAAAGUUUAAGAGGGGGGAAAACACACAACCUUGCAUUGCAAAUGACAAUCACAUUUAGCCUUUUCAUCCACUUAACUAUGUGCUAUUGAUCUGCAGAAGGUGCCCAAGCAAGUGAUAACUGAAAUUACGAGCAAUAAAGGGCUUGCUUCUUCAAACAAAAAAGUAUAUAAUUAGUAGGAGUGGAGGAGGGGGCAGAGCCUGUGUUUGGUUUUAAAGGCAUUUAAACAAGAUGGACUGAGUGCAACAGCAGUGUUUAAGUGUACACAACGAGAAAUCUGGUUGCCUUGAAGCAUAAAUCCAUGGUCUGGUUGCAGCUUGUGUGUAAAAAUUAGGCGUGCACCCCAGCCGUUAACAUUUAUCUCCAUCAGGGUUUGCCUGACAGAAAGACAAUCUGUUGGUUUGCCUACAUCAACUAGGGAGAGGAAAAUCCUGUGAAGCUUUGGUUCUUCUAAAUGCAUCCGUAGUUUGCAUUUUUUUUCUAUUUUUCAUUUAGCUGACUCUUGAUAUCAACUUUUUCGUAACUGAUAGUUCUAUUGACAUUUCCGGAAGGUUUUUAAGAAGAUGGAAGAAUGCUUGCUGAAGUGCUGAAAAUUACCCUACUAAAAUAUAUAUAGUCACGCAUAGACCUUAUACUAGCAGGUUUGUAAGAAAUAGUAGCAGGAUCCAUCCCCAGAUUUUAAGAAUCCCUGUUUCUCUAAUAUUUAUGACAGAAUAGCUAUUUUUAUGGUACAGUUUUGCAUGCAAAUUUUUUUCCCCUACUUUCUUUAAGGUUCAGUGUCAGGAACAACAGUAACAACGGGUUUGUUUUUUGAGCAAAACCCAAUGAUAAUUCAGCUGUUAAGAAACCCUUAUUCUAACCUGAAGAGUAGAAUAAAAUGCAUGGCAUACCGUAAACAUGCUUUUAGAUCGCCUCUUCCCUGUGCUGCAUUUUUCUGUUGAGCUUUGUACCACCAGUUUGUCUGGGUUCUUUUUCCCCAGACAGCUUACCCAUUUUAUUGUGCUCAUUUAGAGGAAAGAAAAACUGUUUGUCUCCUUGAAAGGCAAGAGAAAAGUGAGUGGAAACCUACUUUUAUAGCUAAAAUACCAUUAUAAUAUAUGGCAACUAAAAUUCUAAAAUUGAAAGAGAAGAUACAAGAGAAAAUCUUAAAUCAUUUUUUAAAGCCACUGACAGUUUGAAAUAUUCCCAUGAAGAUUUCUAUUUUUUGUCUUCCUUCCUUGAGCUUAGUAAAAUGUGAUUUUUAAAAUGAUUGUUACAAUAACUUGUUUAAUUUCAAUAACUCAAAUAAGAUCCAUUCCUCAUAUAACUCCACCUUUUUUAUUUUAAUGACUGUGUCAUUAAUCUAACAUUUUCCAUUUUUAUUGUGCUUCAUUUUUUCCCCCUUCUGAUCACUUUAAAUUAUGACUAUGAAAUGGCACGCAUUCAGCAGCGGCAUGCUCUGGCUGCAUUUUUACAUCCCUUUACCCCUUUAUUCUCAUGUUUUUAACUUUCAGUACAGCCAGUUGCCAACAACAUCAUGGCUCUAUGACUUCCAGGCUACAGCUCUGGGUGGCAGCUUAGUGACAGAAGGUUUUUCAAACACUUUAUUUCAUUUUUUUUAUAUUAAAUAUCACUGCUAUGAAUAAUUUGUUGUACUUUGCAACACCUACACCCCAAAAUUGGUUAUUACCUUAGGUAAUGGUUGAUAUGUUGUGAGCUGAUUUUAAGAAAUGAUUUUGGGGAACUAUUAAUUCAUAAUGUAAUUCAUCUUUAGAGCCCAGCAAUACACAACCAAAGCCAUAUACUUACUUUAGAUUGUGUAACCAUGAGAAGAUACCAUUGCUUAAAUAAUUAUCAUUCAUUGAGUAAAUAAAAUUAAUUUAUUAUUAACUUUGCCUACACAAAUUUGAUAUAAAAAUAAGGGAUAAGGAAGAAAAGAGUUAUUUUGAGACUGCAGCUCACUGAAUGAUUACACGUGCUAAUGUGCCCUCCUUGUGCCUAUGUGAAAUGGCAAAGAAAAUUAGGAGCCCAGAAAUUUCUUAAAAUUCAAAUUCAACUUGUAAUCCCCAGGUUUUUUGAUUGAUCUUCAGAUACAGGAUAUGAAAUGGUCCAUCAGGUUAGGAUCAAUAUUCAUCUAUCGUAACACUGCCUUAAGCCCCUCUGUACAUACGUUGUGCAUGGUACCAGUAGUGCUGCAGAAUCACUGUGUGUCUGCAACUUCCAAGAUAAAGUGCAGGACAAAAGGUAGUAUCUGCUUAUAUUUCAUUAAGAAAAAGUAACCAUGAGCUAGGAUUUGUUGUAUUUCAGAUCUGAGUCAAGCUAUAAAAACAAAACAAUGCUAUUGAAAUCACCAUACCUCUGUUUAUUUAAAAAAAAAAAAAAAAGUAGCAGAUUAUUUUAUAAAUAACCAGCAGUGUAGCUCUACCUGGAGCAUGAAAAUGCUUUGGUGAUCAUUAGUGUUACAGUGUCACUGCCAUUUGUGGAUAGAUUUUGAGGCAAGUCUGACUUGCAGGCACCUGCAUGUCAGCUCUUCCUGCCGUUGGUCCAAAUCGGCUCAAUUUGGGAACCCAUUUCACCAUGCUAGUGGAGGCUGAAUCCAGGUUAUUAAAACCAGAGCCUGUGAACUUCAAAGGAGCAGUGCUGAGGGGCUGGCCUGGACUAAUCAUCCCCAGAGAAGCUGGGAACAGUAUUGCAUUAGUGUAGUUACAUGUCUCCUGCAUCCAAGAGGGUUUGCCUCUGGCUGAGCCAUCAUGCAGCAGGGAAGUGAGGGGUCUGAGGGCCUCUGUGCUUUGAAGGAGAGACUGUUCACGGGAAGUGAUUUGCUGAAACCUCCAAAGUAUUAUUCAAUUAUUAGAUUGGGGAAAAAAAGUACCUUCUCUGGAAUGCCAAGAUUGCAAGAGGUAGUUGUGACGAUGCAGGGUGGGAAACGAACGGAAGUCUUUCCAAUCCCACACGGUCCUGCUCACUGCUCUUAAGCCUGCAUAGUCUGUGUCUCUUAUGCAGAGAUGUGCAAAAUCCCUCAAAUGGGGCAUAAGGAUGCCUUGCUGUUAGAUAUAUAUUGCAUCUGCCCUCACAGACCUGUAGGAUAUGUAUGCUCCGACAUUUAAUUCUUAACAAAUCUUUGUUGUUAUUUUCUUUAGUUAAUCAAUUACAUUUCCAUUUUAUCCACUGGUUUUUUUGAGUGUUUCUUGCUAUAAUCAUGAAAUAAUUUACUCAGCCUUUCUUGAUCUGUCUUGCUAAAGUUAUAAAUUUGAUUGCAUUCCUAUAUUGACUGGAAUGUUACAGAGCAGUUAGCUUUUAUUGGUUUUGUAGUGUAAAAUAUGUGAUUUUAUUGUUGAUUUUUAUAUCUUGAUAUAUAUGAAAGAUUUAAUCUCUCAUUAGAAUUUUGAACUAUCUUAUGAACUAUCUUUUGAACUAUCUUCAGGAUAAGAUUUAUCUGCAGUGCUAAGUACACAUUUUAAAAUGCUGAUUAAUGAGCCUGUAAUUCAUCUUAAAAGUUGGAUUUGGGGUUUUUGAUACAACCUGGAAUGAAGGGUAAUAAGCAAGCAUAAUUUCUGUUGCAGUAUUUUUUUUAUUGAGACACUCAUAUGAGUUGCAAUAUCCAUCCUGCCCUUUCCUAUUGCUUAAAGAAGGAAAGAGCAGCAAUAAUUGGUACUUAAGAAUAUUUCCUUCAAUUUAUAUCUAACUUAUUGUUAAUGAGAUCUCACCACAGUUAAGAUGGGAUAUGCAUGGGCCAGGUGAUGCGUUCUGGUUCCCCUCGUGCCAUCAUCUUUACCUUUCUCAACAGUGCAGUGCAGUCAAGGCAGUAGUCUUAUGGGUAAUGUUUAAAUUAUUGACUAGUCAGGCUAAUAUGCAAACAUGAAAUAUUAAAACAUCACUGGCAAUUUGGGAAUUUUGACCCAUACAACCAGCUUUUAUUUUUGCUGAUGAUGAGCAACUGCAAUCAGUGUUCUGAGGUUUCAAACUAUCAUUUAUGUUCUUAGAGUGGAAGCAAGGUUACUGGUAAAAGUAUGCUUUAUUCCCUUUUGAGUACCAUUUGGGACAGAGAAAAAAUUGGUACAGGUGCUAAAGAGCUGGUUAUAUUUCUCAAAGAAAACAGUUGUUAAUAAAUGCAAUUCAUAAACUAAUCUACAGAUAAACUAAUUCCUUGAAAUUUCAUUGUGAAGUUAAAAAAAAAAAAA
rnacentral:lncRNA from 1 species